AUUGAACGCUGGCGGCAGGCCUAACACAUGCAAGUCGAGCGAGCGGCGGACGGGUGAGUAAUGUCUGGGAAACUGCCUGAUGGAGGGGGAUAACUACUGGAAACGGUAGAUAAUACCGCAUACCAUCAGAUGUGCCUAGAUGGGAUUAGCUAGGAGGUGGGGUAACGGCUCACCUAGGCGACGAUCCCUAGCUGGUCUGAGAGGAUGACCGGCCAAACGGGACAUAAGCCACGGGCCGAACCCCUACGUGAGGCUGCAGUGGGGAAUAUUGCAGAAUGGGCACAAGCCUGAUGCAGCCAUGCCGCUUGUAUGAAGAAGGCCUUCGGGUUGUAAAGUACUUUCAGCGGGGAGGCGUUACCCGCAGAAGAAGCACCGGCUAACUCCGUGCCAGGAGCCGCGGUAAUUC
rnacentral:rRNA from 1 species